GUGUCAGCAGCCGCGGUAAUACGAGGGGGGCAAAUGUUGUUCGGAAUCACUGGGCGUAAAGGGAGCGUAGGCGGGCUUCUAAGUUGGAUGUUUAACCCCGGGGCCCAACCCCGGAUCGGCAUCCAAAACUGGGAGUCUUGAAUAGUGGAGAGGACGGCGGAAUUGGGGGUGUAGCGGUGGAAUGCGUAGAGAUCCCCAAGAACACCAGUUGCGAAGGCGGCCGUCUGGACACAUAUUGACGCUGAGGCUCGAAAGCAUGGGGAGCAAACAGGAUUAGAUACCCUGGUAGUCC
rnacentral:rRNA from 1 species